UCUAGGAGAAAAUGCAAAAAUAUCUUCCAUUAACAAAAUGGAUAAUAUACAAACAAGAAACUUCAUACGUAAUUCGAAUAUUAUUUACAUUUUUAAUAAUAACAAAUGUAUUAAUUAUAUGCCAUGCAUAUCCAUUUACCGAAAGCAAUCCAUUAGAUCGAUGUACUGGUACAGCUGAUAUUGGUGAUUGUACAGGUUUUGUACAUAAAUGGUAUUUUAAUAAUACAGCAAAAAAGUGUCAAACAUUUAUUUAUGGUGGUUGUGGUGGAAAUAUAUUGAAUCGUUUUGAUUCCGAAAUUGAAUGUUUACAUUAUUGUGUUAGUGAAGAUCAUACACUACCUCCAGCAUUAACAUCGACGCCAUUUGAUGAGAAAAACUACUUCACAUUGAGUUCAAACACAACUCAAACUAAAGGUAUAUACAGCAGUCCAAUACCACCGAACGAACGUGGAAAAGAAUUAACAUUCCAAGAAACUGGUAAACAUAAGACGUUUAUGUUUGCUGAAUCGAAUACUUUUAUUCAAUUAGAUGGUGAUAUUAUACAAACGUUUCAAUUGAGACUUUGCCGAGAAAUAUCUUUCGAAUUUCGAACUAGACUUCCACAUGGACUUCUAGUCUAUCAUAAUGUUAAAGUACCAAAUGGUAUUAAAUUAGAACCAUACGCUUUAUACGUAAUUGUACAAAAAGGUCAACUAAAAGUUGUUCAUGUAUUUGGACGACAUUUGACUGCACUCACUGUUGGUCGAGGUUUAAAUCGCAAUGAAUGGCAUUCUGUUACUGUUCGAAUUGAUGUACAUUUAGCCAAAUUAAUUGCUGUUGUCGAUAAUAUUAAGGACGAAGUGAGCAUAAAAGGACUGCACGAGGAAAAUAAUUAUGGAAUCUCAGAAAGUUUACCGUCAGUGGUUCUUAUCGGUGGCUUAAGUUCUGAAGAAAAAUUACAUGGCGUCAAAUAUAUAAUUGAAUCGUUUGUUGGAUGUAUACGAAAUAUGGUGCUAAGUGCUGGCAAAGCGGCAUCGGAUUUAAUAACAAUUCAACCAUUAAUUGCCACAAAGCAUGAAAACGUUAAAGAAGGAUGCACAAACUUAUGUUAUACGGAUAAAAAUUUAUGUUUUGUGGGAUCUCAUUGUAUAAAUCAUUAUAAUACUUACACGUGUGAUUGUUUUGGAACGCAUUAUGAGGGCGAACAGUGUGAUAUUUACACUGCCACAGUAUUAACUCUUCGGGGAUCAUCAUAUGUCUCAUAUCGUGUAUACGAUUGGAAAGAUCGUGUACAUUCAGCCAAUAAUCGAAUAUCUUUAUUAUUUAAAACACGUUUCGAUGACUCAGCCUUAUUUUAUGCAAGUGGCGAAAUAGAUGGAAUUCACCAUUAUAUUGCUGCAUCAAUCAAAAAUCACAUUGUCCGCUUAGAAUUUGAUUUUGGCGAAGGCGUCAUUAAAUCAGAGUUAGGAACACACGUCACUAUAAACGAUUGGAAUAACUUAACAAUUGUACACGAUCAUAAAUCAUUGCGAGUUUCAUUAAAUAAACAAGUAAAAUUGUUAGAUAUUCCUGGAAAUAUGUAUCACUUAUAUAUCGAUCCAGAGAUUUACAUUGGCGGUGGACCUGAGUUGCAAAGUAAAAAAGCUCUAGGAACACAGAAUAAUUUUGUUGGUAGUUUAAAAUAUGUGUUUUUUAACGAUAUCUCGAUUAUAUACGAAUUGAAAAAACAAAAUCCUAAAGUUCAUUACAUCGGAGUACUCGAACCAGAGUUGGAAGAUAUUGACGUAGAUGUAAUUCCUAUAACCUAUCCAUUUGCAAGUUCUCAUAUUUGGUGGCCCAAUAAUCAAACAGACUCGUUAAGUUUAACAUUUGAUUUUAAAAGUAGUCGGAGCUUAGCUGUACUGGCCUCUAGUGAUGUAACAACUGAGAGUGGAUUAGGAUAUUGGGAAAUUCGUGCAGUAAAUGAUGAAAUUCGUUUUGAACUAGUCCCAGAUGCAGGAAAAAAUAUUACACAUUUAACAAGUGUAAAAUAUGAACCAGAUCCAUCAUCGUGGCAUAUUGUUGAAGUGAGUUAUUCCGCUGGUGAACUCAAAUUAACCGUUGAUUUUCGUACAAUUCGUGCACAAUUAUUUGGUCUAAAAUUUCAAUUAGGUGAUAAAGUUAUAGUAGGAAGUGGACUUCGAGGAAAUGCUCCAGCUGGUUUGAUUGGAUGUAUGAGAAAGGUUACUGUAAAUGGUGCAUUUUUAGAACCUAGAUAUGUUGUACAAACUGAACGAUUAGUUGGUGAAGUAGCACUUGACGAUUGUCGUUUUAUUGACCCUUGCCAUCGACCGAAUACUUGUGAACACGGUGGGAAAUGUUCUGUUAAAGAAGAUCAUUUAACAUGUGAUUGUAAAGGUACUGGAUACAUAGGUAAAAAUUGCCACUUUGCUGAAUUUCGUAAAACUUGCGAAGAAUUAGCUCUAUUAGGGUACACAAAACCUGAUGUGUAUCUAAUAGAUAUUGAUGGGAAUGGUCGAUUUCCUCCAGCACAUGUCCGAUGUGAAUUUCAAAGUUUGGAAGAUUCGACAAAAACUAUUGUUGAGCAUAAUUUACCGAGUCAAGUAGAUGUUCGAUCUGCCGGUGAAGAUGAUUUCAGUUUUAACAUCAAGUAUCGAGAAUUCACAGCAGAAAUGUUGCAAGAAUUAAUUUCGCAUUCAUUAUAUUGCAGUCAAUAUAUAAAAUAUGAUUGCUAUAAAGCACCGUUAGAACUACAUUCAGCAACGUGGUUUAUUAGUUCUUUUAAUAACUUUACUGUUGACCAAAUUGGUGACUCCAAACGGGGCACUUGUCCAUGCGCUGUAAAUAAAACAUGUGAAAAUCCUUCUGAAUGGUGUAAUUGCGAUAUAACUGAAGGAAAAUGGAACUCAGAUGAAGGUUAUUAUACUUCUCAGAAAAGUUUAGGCAUUACUCAAAUGAUAUUCUUACAACAAUCUGACUUGGAAGAAGAUGCUCAAGGUCGCAUAACUCUUGGACCUCUUGAAUGCGUAGAAACAAAUACUCAGAAAUAUGUGGUUACGUUUACUACAAGUCAAUCAUACAUUGAAGUUCCUGGGUGGAGGAAAGGUGACUUGGCAUUUUCAUUUAGAACCACUGGCGAAAAAGCUAUUUUACUGUAUCAACCACCGAUUCGACCAAAUUAUCCAAGUUUUAUGGUGGCAUUAACAAGCGAUUAUCAGUUAAUGUUCAAUUUCACCUUAAACACAGGAACAUCUCGUGGUUUGGUAAUUAAAUCUGGCAGAAAAUUAAACGAAGGCGAAUGGCAUAAAUUAUGGAUUGAUUAUAACCAAUACCACGUACGAUUUAUGAUUAAUACUGAUUAUGAAAUGGUAGAUUUACAACCAGAAGAAGAGUUUGGUCCAUUUGAAGGUAGUAUGUUUAUUGGUGGAGCCCCAUCUGAUUUAUUAAAAAAAUCUUCUGUAACUCAAGGUUUAAUUGGAUGUUUUCGGGGUCUUGUUGUAAAUGGGGAAAUUUUAGACAUAUAUAGUUAUAUGAGUGUGCACUUAAGUGAAAUUAUAAAAGAUUGCAAGCCAAGUUGUGUACCAAAUCCAUGUAAAAAUGGUGCAAGGUGUAAAGAAUUAUGGAGUACAUUCCAAUGUGUGUGUGAAAAUCCAUGGGCACAUUUAGGAACACACUGUGAGACAAAUAUAAACAUAAAUGCAUUAACAUUUAUAUCACCAGAAGCAUAUUUAAAAAAUAAUUAUUUAACAAAUCAAACCAGUGACGAUAAAACAUUAUUUAAAAGUAUUUUAUACGAACGUAUAUUGGUUAACUUACGUACAUAUGAUAAUACAUCUUUGGUACUGUAUGCUAAUGAUCAUAUCAAUAAUUUUGUACAUAUUUACAUCAAUAAUGGUACUGAAUUAAUAUAUUUAUUUAAUUAUGGUAAUGAAAUUAAAAAUAUAACGAUUGAUUAUCCAAAAUUAAACAGUGGUGAAACGGUUCAAAUCGCAAUUAUACGUAAUGAGAAUUCAACGAUUUUACAUGUGAACGAUUAUAAUCGGACAGUACCAUUUGGAGUUCUGUUAUUGGAAGAAUAUUCGAAUAAACCAUGGAUUAACUCUGAAAAAGAAGUACUAGCGCCUCCAAGACCACCAGCUCCUCCAACCGAUUACUUCCAAUUAAAUCUAGGGGGAUAUGAUCAACACAGCCUCUUAAAAAUGGCUGCAGCACCCGAAAAUUUCCCAGGAUACGUUGGUUGUAUACGAGGUUUUCAAAUUGGCCAAACACUAAUUGAUUUGCCAACAAAAGCAAUAGAAAAUGUACAAAUUGACACAAAAGGUGUAAUCCCACAUUGCCAGAUGAAAUGUGAUGCAACUCCGUGUAAACAUCAAGGAAUAUGUGUGGAAGAUUUUCGCCGGCAAGAGCAUACAUGCUUGUGUGAACAUACAAGUUAUUAUGGUGAAUUUUGUGACGAAGAAAAGGGUGCUGAUUUCAAUGGGGAAUCUAUGUUGCAACGAAAAUUCGUUUUGAAAGGAGAAGUACAUGAAGUUAAAGUUCAAUUAGCGUUUUCCAGUAACGAUUUACGAAAACGGUAUACUGUGUUAUUGUUACUUCAAACUGAAAAUAUUCGAAGUUAUUACUUAUUGGUUGCUUUGACUCCUGAAGGUCAUUUAAUAUUUGAAGAAGAUAGAGAAGGGUCUGCAUUUGGUACAAGAAUUUCAGACCGCGAUUUCUUAAACGGAGCAAGACAUUCUGUGUACUAUAAACGUGUGAAUGAUACGGCUGAACUACGAAUUGAUCGACAAUUUAUACCUUUAAGUAAAAUCCCCGUGCUUGGAUUGAGUGAAGUACCUGAUAUUGGAUCAGAUGAAGUGCAGAUAGGAGGUCUAAAUACAACAGAUCCAAGAUUUGCGAUUUAUAAAGGGUAUAAUGGAUGUUUAUCGAAUGUUUUUGUUUUGGUGAAUGGUUUAAGUAUGAAACCACUAGAAGAAUAUAUGAUGUUUAAAAAAAUUGAUGCGGAAAAAGUAAAUGUUACAAAUUCGCAAGGAGUUCGAAGUGCUCAAUGUAAUGAUCAUUUCGAUAUAAUACACAAAGUACCCGCAGGUCCAACUUUAAACAUUAGUCAUGGUUUGGAUAAAGCAUGGGUUGAAGACCCACCAGCUAGAAUGCCUUAUCGAAAUAUUUAUGCCGAUGCCUCAAUAGAAAAAGAUGAAACUGGUACUGCAAUAUUUAUUGCUUUAACAACUUUCUUUGUUGUAAUUGUUCUUGGAAGUAUUUAUGAAGUUUAUCGUUCUGAUCGACAAUAUCGGAGGCGUCAGGGAAUGGAAAUCGAUGCAAGUAUUAUUCAAUCGAAACAACAAGCAGCAAAGCAAAUGCAAAAUGUCGCAUUUGCUAAAUCAGAUGAUGAUAUCCCACCUAAACCAACUCCUAUUCCAAAUGGAAUCAGCAAAAAUGGUGGAGUUUUAUCCAACAACACAGCUCAAUUUAUACCUAUACCUACUUCAGAAUCACAAAUUAAGGAACGACCUACUGAAAAACAUGCUACAUUUAAAGAUGACAUUCAAGAAAAAGAAUUAGCAUGGGAACCAGAUGAAGAGAAAACUGAGCUUUUAAAUGAAGAUGAAAUGGACUUUUCGCCGCCUCCAUCAAGAGUGGUACAACCUACAAUUAUACCAACCACUGGUCCUCGCUCAAAAGUGAAAGCUCCGCCACCUCAUAAAAAUCCUUUAGCUACUCAAUUACCAUAUAAAAUUGAUGAAACCGGACUUGAAUAUUCAACAUCGGCUCCGGCCUGAUGAAAUCGACAACAACAGGACAAGAAGGGAAAUGGUAUUGAAAUAUUUCCUACUAUUCCAGAAAAUGAAAUUUUAGAUAAGCCAGAACGACCAAUCAGUGCCAUAAUUCGUACAACAUUAUCACCUAUUUUUCUAAGCGAAGAACAAAGGACAUAUAAUAAUCCACUUAGUUAUAUAGGGGGUCCACAACUAUCCUUACGUCCUCAAAGUAGUCUUGAAAGUGUCUUAUCUUUGGAUUGAUUCGACAAUCUGUGAUUUUAAGCAAGAGGGCCUUAUAAUUUAUAUAUACUCACAAGUAACUUGCGUUCCCAAUAUAUACCAGUAUAAAAAUAUGUCAGUUGAUUGGAUAAUUAAAUAUUCAAUUCCCUGCCGCUGUUUUAUACUGUCCAGCAUCUGGUAUCACGGACUUAUAGGCAUCACAAUCUUUAAGGUUUCUGAUGUCUGUGACUGGUAUGUUUUUUGGAUUGCAAGUUUAGUCUAGAUUUAAGUAUAUAUCCAGUAUUGUAGCAAUAAUAUUUUAUACUUGAUUCUAUCCGAAUGAUUUCAGUCGGAUAGGAUUAAUGUUCAUUUGACGAAAUUGAUAAUUUAAAAGUAGUUUUA